ACCAAAUAUCAUUUCCAAAAUGUUUUAAUUCACCUCUGGUAUAUACACUUCUUUUAAAAAAAAAAAAAAAAAAAACAACGAUAACACAACUAUCAAUAUAGUCACCAAAAAGUUCUGGGACAAAACUGACAACUGAGAAUCAAUGCAUUAGCAGUAUUACCUUUUUCUAACCUAAACGUUUAAUGCUGAUUUAAUAAACAGGUGAAAUAUUCCGGUUUUUAAAACAUGCAGCUUUGAGAACAAUGCGAGUAUAGCUGGAUGUGUGUGUGUUGUGACACUAGUGGUACUUUAAAAACUGUUGUGAUCAAGUGGUUUAGAAAAAUUCAUGCACUCAAGUAUCAAAAGUAACAUUAGCCUCCCGAGCCUGCUUAACCUCUUAAAACGGUGCAUAUUCUGCAUUGCAGUAACGUUUUUCCUUCUCUAGAGAAGUCGAGCGAAUCAUUUCAGAGGUGAGAGAAAAUCACUUCUGUGUAGGAAUGGCACUGUGUUUUGUGGCUUAGUAAUUAUGCUUAGGAGAGUGGUACUAAGAGUAUAAAGACAAAUUGUGCAAUACUGUAAUUUGCAGAAAGUGUGAAUUUUGGAUACUUUAAUUUACUUCACAGCAACGUUCCUAUAUAUUGUGAUUGAUUUUUGAUAAAGAGAACUUUCUACCAACUUGAGCAGGAUAAUAAGAGCCAGUGUGAAAACUGUGAAAAAAUGCAUUAUAGGGAGGAUAACUGUGUGUCAAGUCUGGCACAACAAAUAAGAUCAUUUAAGAAGGCACCCCGUAAGCAUGCAGCCUAGGAGUCUGCAGAAAGCCUCGAAAGCUCGAGCCGCUGCAGAACGCCUACAACCCACAUGCCCUCGAUACAUCCACCGAGUUACAGUAGGAGUUUUUGAGAGAAUACAGGCCUACACGAUGUAUAGUCAAAUGCAGUCACAAAUACAAAAGUCACAAUGCAAAUACUUAUAAUGGAAAAAGGUGUAAGGUUCGUCAAGUGCUCCAUCACCCUGCUUAUUUAACCUUCAUAUAUUGCACAUCUCUGUCCUUAGGUCAAAUUCUAACAUUUUGAAGAAUUUUUGAAAAAAUAAAAAAAAGAAUAACACAUUUCAAAAUCUCAAAAGAAACAGGUCCCCUACUACUCAUGAUUACUAUGUAAUAAGGUAUAAUUUCAACCUAAAACUUCACCAAACCAAGCUUUUCCUUACUCCAACUUGCUUAUUCAUCUGGUUAUUGCUGUCUUGCUUAGGUACAGAUGAUGUGUACUGGCAGCAUUUAUAGUCCAAACUCAUCACACUGUUUAAUUACUAUACAGUGUAGAUAAGGAGACAUUUAAUCUAAACUGUAGGCUGCUUAAGAAAAUGCUAACCAUUUAGCUGCAUACUAAGAACCUUUUUAAAUGACUAAGCAUGACAUCCAUGCGUCCCCAUUUAAAGAGACUAGCGUUUAGUAAUUAAGGCCAUAGCUUUAGUUUCGUCUUAGUCUAGAACCGUCAUACCAAUCUGUACACAUCCACCUGUAAGGCCCAAAGUCUUUUAGCCCUAACUGCACAUACAUCUCACUCACUAAUCAAGUCACAGGAUGAGACCUUUAAAGGCUUUCUGGCUGCUGUUUACUGUAAACAGUCUACUUACAUUUUCCCACAGAUUAAACAGAGACAAGCUUCAGAAUUUUCAGAGGAUAUCCCUUAACUGUAUUACACUGCUAUAACUCAUGUAAAGCUGGUUUACUAGACAGAGAUGAAGUCUAAUUUGGGAUUAAAAUAUGCUUGUUUAAGUGAUUGAAGAGAGUUCACAGUCAACAAUUAGGCUAAAUCCAUGUGCGUUGUGAUGUCCCUUUGAAUCUCAGCUUGCCUGAGUGGUCCGUAUGUUGGUUUCGCCACCAUUAGUUCCUGCUUUGGGAGUUCCUGUGGCCACAUGGAAACUCGACUGGAGGGCAUUUGUGGCUGUGGGCUGUAACAAGCCUACUGAAUUUCCUGUUGGCCCCACCCACUGUGGGGGGACAUAAGGGGCACAGGGGUAGGUGGGCUGGUGGGCCAUCGAGCACAAUGAACUCUUCCUUCCAGCAGAAGAGUUGGAGCAGGGAGCACAUACAGGACCACCCAUGGAACACAGCUGCCCUGGUGCAGAGAACUUGCGAGGAAGUGUCUAGAAAGAAGAAGAAAAUGUCUUCACAAAAUAAUUCCCCGUUUUGACAAACAUUCAAUUGACUAAUCAUAAUGAUUACAAUUAAAUAGUAAAGAUAUAGUUAAUAAAAGGUGAAAUAUGGUUAGUGCUGCUUACAUCAAGGCUUUGCGAAUUUUGUUUGCCAUUCUUCUUGACCUGUGCUUGGCUCAUGGCAUCCCGAGCAAAAUCAUCCACCAGCUGGUGGAGGUCAUCUGUAAAUGUGCCUUUUCGUGGAAGGUUAGCAGCUUGGCUUGACCCAUUUUCUAUUUUAUUUGUGAUGGUGGUCACUAUAAUAGACAUUAGGAAACACAGAACACAAAAAAGAAAAAUUAAAGGCCAGUGAUUAUUAACAAGUUAUUGAGUGGACUAAAUAAUGCAGAAUUAUUUAGUCCUAAAAAAAAAAUAACUUAACAUGUACAGAAAUUAUAGGCUCAACAAUCCCUUAAAAAAAGAAUGAAGCCAAAACCUUUACCUUCUGGUGCAACAUCCUGACCGAGUGUAUCCAGAGGAUCUGGAACCUUUCCUGUAGUUGACUGAGUAACUGAAGCCUGUUUGUUACGUUUAUCUCCUGCAAAGCACAGGAAAAAAUUUUUCAAAAACGGGGAUUUGCCAUUGUGACCGAGAAUACAGACUAUAUAGCGUCUUUGUGGAAAAGUAACUUGGUGGUAUACCUUGCUGAUGAGGGCUACUGUGGGUGCUGCCACUGCGACUGGAUUUGUUGCUCUUGCUUUUGGUGAGCCUGCGCCGGCCUCCUGCCACAGCUACAGGCGAGGAGGCCACUAUAGAGGGACGUGCUUUGCCCAUCCGUGCAUACAGAUCUUCAACUUCCUUCUUCUGCUUAGAUUGCAAGGCCUGGAUCUCAGUUAUAUGCCUGUUAGAAGGAAAUAAAUGAUGGUAAAU
ensembl:lncRNA